rnacentral:lncRNA from 10 species
UCUGUCCAAAUAAUAUAUUCAAGAUCAAAAUCAAAUAUAAAAUUCUCCUCCAUGAAGAUCUCUUUUUCCUUUUCUUCUGCUGGAUGUCUGUUUUUCCUCUUUUGAAUCUCAUAGGACUUAAUUUAUCCUCCCCUUGAGCUUAAAGGUGUGAGAAAUAAAGAAGAGCCCACAAAGAAGAUGAAGAAAUCAUUAGAAAGAAAAAACAAUCUUAAUGACUUUGUUCUGGAGGCAAAGGAAAUAAACAAAAUUUCAGAGAGAGAGAAAAAGAAACUGUUCAACUGUGUCAAAUACUCUUACGAGGUCUACUAACUGGAGUACUAAUAAUUGAUUAUUGGAUUUGAAAACAGAUUUUUGAAGACAUUAACACGACAGUUUCAGCAGCCUUGUAAGUGUGGUGUGGAGUGGAUUUAGGGAUAAAUUAAAGAGUAAUUUAAAACUGUCAAUGUAGACAAUCUUUUUGAGGAGUUUUACUAGAAACAGGAUUGAGAAAUGGAGUCAUAGUUUUAGAGGAAGGUGGAGCUAAGUGGAUCUUUUUUUUUAAGCACAAGAUUUCACUAUAUAGUGAUGUGAAUGCCCUGAAGUGGAGGAAAAGAUUGUCAAUUCAAAAGAGAGAGAGGUGAGAAUAGUUUUGUCCAAAUCUUUGAGUAAGUGAUAAAGAGUGGGAUCCAGUAACAAAGGGGAAUACUUGGCAACAGGUUUGAACACAGAGAGUCAAUCCUUAGUAACAGAAGAGAAAGCAGAACUUAUAAGCUGGUAGAUCUGUAGACAGAAGAGGAAGCUUUCAAAUUUUCUUUUUUAAUUUUCAAAGUGAAAGAAGUCAAGAUAAGAUCAGAGGUACUAGCGAUGUGAAGAAAUUUUGAAAACAAAUGAAGUAGUUAUCUAAGAAAAUGAGAAAGUGAACAAACUAGAAUAAUUGAGUAUGAUUAUGAGCCAUCAUAAAAGAUCCACCUGAAAUUAGUAAUCACAGAAUUAAUGUGUAAGCAGUUAGUGUGAUUCAUAGUUUUCUCCAAUUUGAUCAACUAUAUAGGUCAAAUGUACAUAUAAGCAGAGAGUUGUAUAAUCACAAUUGUCAUUUUGUCAAGCACACAUGGGAAGAAAAAAAGAAAUACAUGGACACAAGGAAGUUAAAGGAAUACUUGAGUUGGGAGUCUAAUUAACUAUACUGUUUAUACUGAGGUAAAAAAAAAACGAGAUGGCAUGAGGGAAGUUGGAGAUUGCAUAAAUAUAAGGAGAUCAAUGUAUUGUAAGUCACAAUGUAAUGGAAAGAAAGUUGGCUAUUAUAGUAUAAGCACAUUGAGAAACUUGAUUGGUAAUUGGGAUUAUAGAGAUUGCAAUGAUAAAUUUUAGGGAGAAACAAUCCAAGAGGACUUUCUAUGAUGUUCAGCUCAAUAUAUUUGCCAUUAGCCUAUAGGAUUAUUGAAGACUGAAAUAUGGAACCAUACAUCCAUUGCUAAAAGCAAAUCUAGGAACUAUAUUUGUCCCUUUCCUUAGUGGCUUUCCACAAGAUGUGCUCUGUUCCUAGAAUAAAUUUUCAUCUUUUUCUACAUAUGUCCAGAAUAAGUAUCAACCCUUAGCAUAGACACAACUGCUAUUUUUCCUAUUUCCCUUUCCACAACUGAGUUACUGUCUUUCCAGUGUGUUUACAUAGCAGUUGUAAAAUGCAUUAUAUUUCAUUGAUCACUUGUCUAUCUCCUUAAUUUGGCUAAUGUUCUUGGAAAGAGAUGUUCUAUUUUAAUUACAGUAUUUGGAGCAUCUAUCAUGAUGCCUAGAACUUAGGAAGUAUUUAGUAUAUAUUUGCAAAAGAAAGUCAAAAGAAGAUAGAAUUAAGGAAAUAAAAGGAGAGAAGGAAAGAGAAAAAAAGGAGGACAACAAAAAAGAAGAAAAAGAAAAAAGACAAAGAAAAAGAAAUAAAGGCAGGAAAGGAAGAAGGAA